rnacentral:misc_RNA from 1 species
UUUUUUUUUUUUAAAACAAGAAACAUUUUUUUUGAGACACCAUGUGGCCUCAUAAUCUUUUCAGAGAAAAUAAAUCUUCACUUGCCACUUGCAAUAUAUUUGCAGUUUAGGGCACUGGGUAAAAAAAAUACAAAAAGGGGCUUAAAUGCCAACUUGCAGCCUGCCCCACUCACCCACAUCAGAUAUACAUGAUUGAAAAUUUGAAACAUGGUACACAAAUGACAAAACCAUGUGACUUGAAGUUGAGUUCAGUUCUUCACUAACAUAAUUGAACUUUUUUGAGCAACCUAACAGGAUUUGAAACACAUCACUAUGGGAAGAGAGACAUAGAGAUCUACACCAACCAAUGCUUCCUAAUCAAAGGAAGAAUUUACAAUUACUAUUAUAAAUAAGAACCCCAAUAAGAAUUUACCAUCUUUUAUUUAGCUAUCCACUUUCUUUAUUCCAGCAUCAAAUGGAUUUCCUCUUGCUUUGUCAGGUACUCCCACUAGGGUAGACACAACCAUUAUAACUGGGAUUGUUGGAUGUGAGUGUAGCAGUCUGAGAGAAAUCACAAUCCCAUGGAUUCUUGCCAGAAGUUUGGUAGUAGAGGUUCAUGGCAAAAGCAGCAUGUGAAACCAAAGUAUUUGGCUCGAAACAGGCACCUCCUGGUUGAAUCGGGCUGCAAUCUAUGCCUUGACCACAAGCAUAGUCAAGACUUCCCUGCAAUUGUGCAUCAGAAACACCAGCCUUGGGCAUACACCAACCUGCUCCUGUUGGUUUUACUGACGGACUUGCUGGAGUUUGGGGCGUCGAUGGAGUCUGGCUACUACUCUUUGAGAGACCAACAUCAUAUGUCAUGGAAAGGUCAGGUUUGAAAAGGCCAAAUGCUCUUUCGGAGGCAGGCCCAGGCUUCAAAUCCUCAUCAUAGAUUGCAAAGAGGUAUGUAUCUACAGAUUUUCCGGGCAUUAAUGGGGUGCCAACCAAUGAUCUAAGGUGAG